UCCUACGGGAGGCAGCAGUGGGGAAUAUUGCACAAUGGGCGCAGGCCUGAUGCAGCAACGCCGCGUGAGGGACGAAAGCCUUCGGGUUGUAAACCUCUUUUAGUAGGGAAGAAGCGACUGGGUUUUCCUGGGAGUGACGGUACCUGCAGAAAAAGCACCGGCUAACUACGUGCCAGCAGCCGCGGUAAUACGUAGGGUGCAAGCGUUGUCCGGAAUUAUUGGGCGUAAAGAGCUCGUAGGCGGUUUGUCGCGUCUGCUGUGAAAACCCGAGGCUCAACCUCGGGCCUGCAGUGGGUACGGGCAGACUAGAGUGCGGUAGGGGAGAUUGGAAUUCCUGGUGUAGCGGUGGAAUGCGCAGAUAUCAGGAGGAACACCAAUGGCGAAGGCAGAUCUCUGGGCCGUAACUGACGCUGAGGAGCGAAAGCAUGGGGAGCGAACAGGAUUAGAUACCCUGGUAGUCCAUGCCGUAAACGUUGGGAACUAGAUGUGGGGACCAUUCCACGGUCUCCGUGUCGCAGCUAACGCAUUAAGUUCCCCGCCUGGGGAGUACGGCCGUAAGGCUAAAACUCAAAGGAAUUGACGGGGGCCCGCACAAGCGGCGGAGCAUGCGGAUUAAUUCGAUGCAACGCGAAGAACCUUACCAAGGCUUGACAUAUACCGGAAACGGCUGGAAACAGUCGCCCCGCAAGGUCGGUAUACAGGUGGUGCAUGGUUGUCGUCAGCUCGUGUCGUGAGAUGUUGGGUUAAGUCCCGCAACGAGCGCAACCCUCGUCCUAUGUUGCCAGCACGUAAUGGUGGGAACUCAUGGGAUACUGCCGGGGUCAACUCGGAGGAAGGUGGGGAUGACGUCAAAUCAUCAUGCCCCUUAUGUCUUGGGCUUCACGCAUGCUACAAUGGCCGGUACAAAGGGCUGCGAUACCGCAAGGUGGAGCGAAUCCCAAAAAGCCGGUCUCAGUUCGGAUUGAGGUCUGCAACUCGACCUCAUGAAGUCGGAGUCGCUAGUAAUCGCAGAUCAGCAGCGCUGCGGUGAAUACGUUCCCGGGCCUUGUACACACCGCC
rnacentral:rRNA from 1 species